UCGGCUUAGAGUUUGAUCCUGGCUCAGAUUGAACGCUGGCGGAAUGCUUUACACAUGCAAGUCGAACGGCAGCACGGGGGCAACCCUGGUGGCGAGUGGCGAACGGGUGAGUAAUACAUCGGAACGUGCCCAGUCGUGGGGGAUAACGUAGCGAAAGCUACGCUAAUACCGCAUACGAACUCUGGAUGAAAGCGGGGGACCGUAAGGCCUCGCGCGAUUGGAGCGGCCGAUAUCAGAUUAGCUAGUUGGUGGGGUAAAAGCCCACCAAGGCGACGAUCUGUAGCUGGUCUGAGAGGACGACCAGCCACACUGGAACUGAGACACGGUCCAGACUCCUACGGGAGGCAGCAGUGGGGAAUUUUGGACAAUGGGCGCAAGCCUGAUCCAGCAAUGCCGCGUGCAGGAUGAAGGCCUUCGGGUUGUAAACUGCUUUUGUACGGAACG
rnacentral:rRNA from 1 species